AGAACGUCUGAUGCUCUUGUUAAUACUCGUACUUCUGUAUUUAUUGGUAAAACUGUUCGGUUAUCUACAUCUAGAAGCCGAAAUCCGUCGUUUUCUAGAUGUAGAUAACCGAACAAUUUUACCAAUAAAUACAGAAGUACGAGUAUUAACAAGAGCAUCAGACGUUCUACACUCAUGAGCAGUGCCUGCAUUAGGAGUUAAAAUUGACGCAACGCCAGGUCGACUAAACCAAGGAACAUUUACAAUAAACCGGCCGGGACUAUUCUUUGGACAAUGCUCAGAAAUCUGUGGAGCAAACCACAGAUUUAUACUAAUUGUAAUUGAAAGAACUUCAGUAAACUUAUUUAUCAAGUGAUUAUCUAAGAUAAUCUAA